AUUGAACGCUGGCGGCAGGCCUAACACAUGCAAGUCGAGCGGAGCGGCGGACGGGCGAGUAAUGCCUAGGAAUCUGCCUGGUAGUGGGGGAUAACGUCCGGAAACGGGCGCUAAUUACGCCUACUCUCAGACGAGCCUAGGUCGGAUUAGCUAGUUGGUGGGGUAAAGGCCUACCAAGGCGACGAUCCGUAACUGGUCUGUGUGGAUGAUCAGUCACACUGGAACUGAGACACGGCCCAGACUCCUACGGGAGGCAGCAGUGGGGAAUAUUGGACAAUGGGCGAAAGCCUGAUCCAGCCAGGCCGCGUGUGUGAAGAAGGUCUUCGGGUUGUAAAGCACUUUAAGUUGGGAGGCGUUACCAACAGAAGAAGCACCGGCUAACUCCGUGCCAGCAGCCGCGGUAAUUC
rnacentral:rRNA from 1 species